CUGGUCCCUAUGGGUAAGUGAACUCAACUCACCCCUGAGCACCUACAUCGAUUCCACCACUGCUGUCCCAGCUGCGUACCCAGCUGCUGGCAGUGCUUGAUUCCCCAAAGCUUCCUGCACUGAGGAUGGGCGAUGAAUAAGCAUUGGUUCUGGAACAGUCCCCAGACACGGUGAUACGACAAGACCAGUCCGUGAAUCUGAGCUGUUCCAAGAAGAAAUCCUCCAGCACAGCUAUGUACUGGUACAAGCUGCCUUUGGGGAAGGACUCCAGGCUGGUCCUUGUGUCUUCUGCAUUCCAAGGUGGUAAUGCAAAUGUUGAGAAGGAUUUCCAAAGCCAUUUCAAGAGCAGUGAGAUACAAGGAGAUGGGAUGACGCUCUUGAUAGACCGUGCCUUUCUCAACGACUCUGGCAUGUAUUACUGUGCUGAAAGUGAAACACAUGUGAAUAAUGAAAAACUGAACUUUGGCAGUGGGACAAAACUCACAGUCCUAGGGAAGAACGAUGAAAUCAUACCUCCAGCUGUGGCCAUCUUUUCCCCAUCAAAGCAAGAGAUCCAACAGAAGAGCAAGGCCACACUGGUAUGCCUGGCCUCUGGUUUCUAUCCUGACCACCUGAAUCUGGUCUGGAAGGUGAAUGGUGCUAAGAGGACAAAAGGGGUGGGAACAGAUGAGUUUUCUACACAGAAUCGGAGUACCUACUCAUUGACCAGCCGACUGAGGAUCUCAGCCCAGGAAUGGUUCAACCCUUUGAACCGUUUUGAGUGUGUUGCCGAAUUUUUUCAGAAUGAAACACUGAAAUCAAUACCGAAAUUCAUCUACGGUGAUGCUGGUUGUGCACUCACGGAAGAGUCCUACUUGCGGUAUGGAAAUUCUCUGAAGCUCACUUACCUCCUUCUCUGUGGCAAAGCCUUGAUCUAUGCAGUUUUGGUGAGCAGUCUGGUGUGGACAGCCAAGACUGGUGGCAAGUUGUAUAGAGAAUAAAUGAAGAGUCGUCUUCAUCACAUCAGCAGGAACACAGCAAAUUAUUUCUUUGCUUCUGUCUAAGAACUUCUGAAUAUUAUUUCUUGGUGGUUCUCUGACCCCCCUCCUGUUCUUCCACUGCUGGGUUUUCCCUGUACUUCCAUAUCAUAUUGUAUCAUAUAGUAUCAUAUCUUUAAAACUAACACCUUAAUGCUCAAAGGCUGAGGACCCAGCUCAUUGAGUUAGGAAUAAAGUUUUAGCUUCUUUUCCAUUCAA